UACGUAGGGGGCAAGCGUUGUCCGGAAUCAUUGGGCGUAAAGCGCGUGUGGGCGGCUCGGUAAGUCUGCUGUGAAAGUCCAGGGCUCAACCCUGGGAUGCCGGUGGAUACUGUCGAGCUCGAGUCCGGAAGAGGCGAGUGGAAUUCCUGGUGUAGCGGUGAAAUGCGCAGAUAUCAGGAGGAACACCAAUGGCGAAGGCAGCUCGCUGGGACGUGACUGACGCUGAGACGCGAAAGCGUGGGGAGCAAACAGG
rnacentral:rRNA from 1 species